AUACGUAGGGUGCGAGCGUUGUCCGGAAUUACUGGGCGUAAAGAGCUCGUAGGUGGUUUGUCGCGUCGUCUGUGAAAUUCCGGGGCUUAACUCCGGGCGUGCAGGCGAUACGGGCAUAACUUGAGUACUGUAGGGGAGACUGGAAUUCCUGGUGUAGCGGUGAAAUGCGCAGAUAUCAGGAGGAACACCGGUGGCGAAGGCGGGUCUCUGGGCAGUAACUGACGCUGAGGAGCGAAAGCAUGGGUAGCGAACAGGAUUAGAUACCCUGGUAGUCCAUGCCGUAAACGGUGGGCGCUAGGUGUAGGGGUCUUCCACGACUUCUGUGCCGUAGCUAACGCAUUAAGCGCCCCGCCUGGGGAGUACGGCCGCAAGGCUAAAACUCCAAGGAAUUGACGGGG
rnacentral:rRNA from 1 species